rnacentral:rRNA from 1 species
UACGGAGGGAGCUAGCGUUAUUCGGAAUUACUGGGCGUAAAGCGCACGUAGGCGGCUUUGUAAGUAAGAGGUGAAAGCCCGGAGCUCAACUCCGGAACUGCCUUUUAGACUGCAUCGCUUGAAUCCAGGAGAGGUGAGUGGAAUUCCGAGUGUAGAGGUGAAAUUCGUAGAUAUUCGGAAGAACACCAGUGGCGAAGGCGGCUCACUGGACUGGUAUUGACGCUGAGGUGCGAAAGCGUGGGGAGCGAACAGG